UUUGAAUCUCGGUGGGUACGGGGUUGUUCGGCGGCGGGGACCUGAGUGAUUGUUGGCCGCCGGAGCUAGGCGAGGAAGGAGCGGGCGGCGGCGGCGCAACUUCUUGUAACUUCUAUUGCCUGCUGCAACCUGCCCAUUUGGAGAAGUAUAAAGACCCAUCGGUUCUCUUUAUCAACAAAUUUUCACCAAAGGAAGAACAUGAGCUCCCUGUCUUCAUUUUGUGUGCAUGCUCUCUAGCAUGUUUUCCUUUUUGUUCUUAACUAAGGCAUGGACUUUUUUUUUGUAGCUUUCGGUUAUUAGUGUAUUUUGUUAUAUUGCUGUCUAAGGUGCAACUUUCCUGCUUCUGUAAGUCUAUAAAAAAAAGUUUGCCAAAACUAUGUUGUUUUUAGAUUGCCACUUGAUGCUUUUCUGCAAAAAAGUAGCACGUCAAUUACUAUGUCAUUUUCACUAUACAUUAUCUAUUGUUUUAACAUCAUGCUUAUAAUCUGCAACUUUAGGUCGUCGAUUAAUUUCUAUCUCAAGUAACUUACCUUACGCAGAAUGUGCAUGUGGAGCUCCAUUAGUUUUGUUAAUGCUGGCUAAUGGUUGUCAUGUCUGCUGCUACUCUGGUGUGAAUUCUCAGGAAUCCUCCCCUGCACUGCCCUUUUACUUUCCCAAUGUGCUGUUUAGUUGUUUACACAGGCAUGCUCCUAUCUUAUAAGUUGAUCUGAAUAACAAUUCAUACAUGUAGAGAAGCUUCAUGAUUUCUGCUUUUGCUUCUGUUUGUAAUUGUUGGGUUGAAUUGUUGGCAGAUAUUGCAUCCACAGUGUAUCAGAAGGGUAGCAGCUUUUAUACUUGCUGGGCGUUUUGUUAGAUGGACAAGAAGGUAGAGCAGGAGCGCGAUGAGAUGGACGGGAAGAUGAAAAAAUAACGUGAUGCCGUGGAACAGAGGAUAAAGCGAAAUGUGAAAACAUGUUCCCUGAGUUGAAGAUAGUCCAUGAUGAGAUGGACAAAAAGGUGCAACAGGAGCGCGAGGAGAUGGACCAAAAGGAGCAACGGGAGCGCGAGUCAGGACAAACUAUCUGCUUAGUCACAUUUAAUUCAGCUUGGCAUGUGAUCCAAAACCGAGAAAAUGUGGUUCUUGAUAAACUGGCAUAUUGAGUUUUGAAUCAUUUUUUUUGUCAUUCUAUGAAACAUUUAUUUAUCUAAUCAAGAUGCUCUUCACUUGAGCUCAUUGCAAUUUA